rnacentral:rRNA from 1 species
AAGGUAGCGAAAUUCCUUGUCGGGUAAGUUCCGACCUGCACGAAUGGCGUAACGAUGGCCACACUGUCUCCACCCGAGACUCAGUGAAAUUGAAUUUGCGGUCAAGAUGCCGUAUACCCGCGGCUAGACGGAAAGACCCCGUGAACCUUUACUACAGCUUUACACUGGACUUUGAUCUUAUCUGUGUAGGAUAGGUGGGAGACUUUGAAGCGUUGACGCUAGUCAUCGUGGAGUCGACCUUGAAAUACCACCCUGAUGAUAUUGAGGUUCUAACUUAGGUCCGUUAUCCGGAUUGAGGACAGUGUAUGGUGGGUAGUUUGACUGGGGCGGUCUCCUCCCAAAGAGUAACGGAGGAGCGCGAAGGUACCCUAAUCCUGGUCGGAAAUCAGGAGGUUAGUGCAAUAGCAUAAGGGUGCUUGACUGCGAGACAGACACGUCGAGCAGGUACGAAAGUAGGUUAUAGUGAUCCGGUGGUUCUGUAUGGAAGGGCCAUCGCUCAACGGAUAAAAGGUACUCCGGGGAUAACAGGCUGAUACCGCCCAAGAGUUCACAUCGACGGCGGUGUUUGGCACCUCGAUGUCGGCUCAUCACAUCCUGGGGCUGAAGCCGGUCCCAAGGGUAUGGCUGUUCGCCAUUUAAAGUGGUACGCGAGCUGGGUUUAGAACGUCGUGAGACAGUUCGGUCCCUAUCUGCCGUGGGCGUUGGAGAAUUGAGGGAAGCUGCUCCUAGUACGAGAGGACCGGAGUGGACGAACCCCUGGUGUUCGGGUUGUCACGCCAGUGGCAUUGCCCGGUAGCUACGUUCGGACAGGAUAACCGCUGAAAGCAUCUAAGCGGGAAGCCCCUCCCAAGACUAGUUCUCCCUGGGAAUUUAAUUCCCCUGAAGGGCCGUAGAAGACUACUACGUUGAUAGGCUGGGUGUGUAAGCGCUGUGAGGCGUUGAGCUAACCAGUACUAAUUGCCCGUGAGGCUUGACCAU